rnacentral:rRNA from 1 species
AUGGCGGGUAAUAAGAAGAAGAAGGAGGCGGCGGCGGCGAGGAAGUGGAUGAUGAGGCCGUGCACCGCAUCCAAGUCUACGGAGGGUGCGGCGGCCGGCGGCCAUGGUCCGGUGACGCGGCCCCUCCCCGGGAGGAAGGGGGUGGCCGGAUCCAGCGGCGAGCAGCGGCCGGAGGGAUCGUCGCAUCUUUCUUCUGCGGCGGCGGCAGGAGAGGAGCCGGCGUCGUUGGAUCUGCUCAAAUCAGCGAGGAGGGAGGGUACGGUCGACAAGAUGCUGGGGGAGGCGAAGCUGCCAUCCGUCGUCCCCAAGCAGGCUUGUGCCAAUGCACCUGUGGCCCAAGCAGCAGCGGCAGCACAAGGCGGGAGCAAAUUUAAGCGUCGGCUGACCAAGAGCGAGAUCAUGACUAUAGUCGCCCUAAAGCCGGAGCCUUUCCCCAGCGCCGACUACCUGGAUGGCCUGGCCGAGUACGACCGGCCGGAGUGGAUCGCCGAGCAGAAGCGGCAGCACGAGGAGGACGCGGCCUACUUUGCCAAGAUGGACACGGAGUUCGAGGUGUUCCGGCAGAAGGUCAUCAAUGGACUCAAGAAUGAUGGCUACUACGAGGUCGAUGAGGACUAUCUCGAGGCGAGGGAGAAGGCCAAUGAAGAGGCCAUGCGACACCCCAUGGGGCUAUGGGCGGAUAUGGACCCCCGCGAACGCCGUCUCCGUGUUGCUACCCCUGAGGAAAGGCUUCUUCUCAUAGGUGAUGCCUACAUUCCGUACGUGCCUGACGAAGAAGACGAGGCUCUGAUCAAUCUCGGUGAUGAUGAUUUCUCUGCGAGUGAUGAAGAGGAUGAUUUCCCUCCGAGUGAUGAAGAAGCAGGAGACAAUGCUCACAAGCGUCCUCAUCUUAUUGUAUCCAACUGA